CAAAAACAUGGCUCUUUGGUUGUGUAGAAUAAAGAGUCUGACCUGCCCGGUGAAAUAGUUUUAAACGGCCGCAGUACCCUGACUGUGCAAAGGUAGCAUAAUAACUUGUCUUUUAAUUAAAGGCUAGUAUCAAGGGUUUGACGAAAGUAUUGCUGUCUCUUUUAUUUUAGUUAGAAUUUAUUUUUCAGGUUAAAAAGCUUGAAUUUUAUUGGAGGACGAGAAGACCCUAUCGAGCUUUUUAAAUAAGACAUUAAACAAUAAUUAUUGUAUAAAUAUAUGUUUAUGAUUUAGUUUUUAGUUGGGGCGACGGCGGGGCCAGAAAAACCCCCGUUUUAUAGAUUGAUUGAAUUAAUCCAAUAUUAUUGAAUAAUGACUUAGUUACCGUAGGGAUAACAGCGUAAUUUCUUUGGAGAGAUCAUAUUGAUAAAAAAGAUUGCGACCUCGAUGUUGGAUUAGGUAUUAUCUUAAGGCGCAGAAGCUUUAAAGUGGUUAGUCUGUUCGACUAUUAAAUUCCUACGUGAUCUGAGUUCAGACC
rnacentral:rRNA from 1 species